GAUGAACGCUGGCGGCGUGCCUAAUACAUGCAAGUCGAGCGAACAGACCAUGAGCUUGCUCCUCUGACGUUAGCGGCGCGCGUGUGAGUAACACGUGUAUAACCUACCUAUCAUACUGGUAUAACUUCGGGACACCGGAUCUAAUACCGUAUAAUAUAUUGAACCGCAUGGUUCAAUAGUGAAAUACGGUUUUGCUGUCACUUAUAGAUGGAUCCGCGCCGCAUGAGAUAGUUGGUAAGGUAACGGCUUACCAAGGCAACGAUGCGUAGACGACCUGAGAGGGUGAUCGGCCACACUGGAACUGAGACACGGUCAAGACUACUACGGGAGGCAGCAGUAGGGAAUCUUCCGCAAUGGGCGAAAGCAUGACGGAGCAACGGCGAGUGAGUGAUGACGGUCUUCGGAGCGUAAAACUCUGUUAUUAGGGAAGAACAAAUGUGUAAGUAAAUAUGCACGUAUUGACGGUAACUAAUAAGAAAGCAACGGCUAACUACGUG
rnacentral:rRNA from 1 species